UACGUAGGGUGCAAGCGUUGUCCGGAAUUAUUGGGCGUAAAGAGCUCGUAGGCGGUCUGUCGCGUCUGCUGUGAAAUCCCGGGGCUCAACUCCGGGCCUGCAUUCGAUACGGGUGGGCUAGAGUUCGGUAGGGGAGACUGGAAUUCCUGGUGUAGCGGUGAAAUGCGCAGAUAUCAGGAGGAACACCGGUGGCGAAGGCGGGUCUCUGGGCCGAUACUGACGCUGAGGAGCGAAAGCGUGGGGAGCGAACAGG
rnacentral:rRNA from 1 species